rnacentral:rRNA from 1 species
AUUGAACGCUGGCGGCAGGCUUAACACUUGCAAGUCGAGCGGAGAUGAGGUGCUUGCACCUUAUCUUAGCGGCGGACGGGUGAGUAAUGCUUAGGAAUCUGCCUAUUAGCGGGGGACAACAUUCCGAAAGGAAUGCUAAUACCGCAUACGCCCUACGGGGGAAAGCAGGGGAUCUUCGGACCUUGCGCUAAUAGAUGAGCCUAAGUCGGAUUAGCGAGUUGGUGGGGUAAAGGCCUACCAAGGCGACGAUCUGUAGCGGGUCUGAGAGGAUGAUCCGCCACACUGGGACUGAGACACGGCCCAGACUCCUACGGGAGGCAGCAGUGGGGAAUAUUGGACAAUGGGCGGAAGCCUGAUCCAGCCAUGCCGCGUGUGUGAAGAAGGCCUUUUGGUUGUAAAGCACUUUAAGCGAGGAGGAGGCUACCUGGAUUAAUACUCUAGGAUAGUGGACGUUACUCGCAGAAUAAGCACCGGCUAACUCUGUGCCAGCCGCCGCCGUAACAC